AUGCGCCGCAUAGUCCGAGCUCUCUGGCCGCUCCAAAAGCUAACCUCUCAUACCACCUAGUUUCCUCUCCCCGUCCACCGCCUCCUCUCCGCCUCUUCCUCCUCAUCCUCCUCCUCCGCCGCUGCCGCCUCCUCAGACUCCGACUCCGCCGCCCACGACGCUGAUUUUAACAGUGCUGACUUCUCCCUCCCACCCACGGACCCAUCCCCAGCCUCCGCCGCAUCCGUCCGCAACCCCCUCUCCGCGCUUUCUAAGGUCCGAUUCGACCCCUCCCUCCGCUCACGCGCCGACGAAGCGCUCUUCGGGGAGAAGAAUGCAGGGGUGGGAGUGGCGUACGUGGUGGAGGAAGAGCGGUCGCGGGAGGUGGCGCCCGCGCUGCUUGAGGCCGCCCUGGAGCCGCCCGACAAGGACGAGGAGGGGGGCCCGGAGGAGGUCAGGAAGGAGGACCAGAUGUCGCUCUCCGUCGGGAUCGUCGGUGCGCCCAACGCCGGCAAGUCGUCGCUCACCAACACUGUUGUUGGCUCAAAAGUGGCUGCAGUCUCCCGCAAGACAAAUACAACAACUCAUGAAAUUUUGGGCGUGCUGACAGAAGGGAAAACUCAGAUAUGCUUUUUUGAUACCCCAGGUCUCAUGUUAGGGCACCAUGGGUUUCCUCAUAGGGAUGUCACUGUUCGUGUGGAGAUUGCCUGGAGCUCAGUUAACCUCUAUGAUUUACUAAUAGUAAUGUUUGAUGUCAAUAGGCAUCUGAAAAUGUAA
rnacentral:rRNA from 1 species